CAGCUCUCCGAGUGGUAGGGAUGAUUAUUGGGCUUAAAGCGUCCGUAGCCGGCUUAGCCAGUCCCCUGUUAAAUUCAGCGACCUAAUCGUUGAGCCGCGGGAGAUACUACUAGGCUAGGAGGCGGGAGAGGUCGACGGUACUCCCGGGGUAGGGGUGAAAUCCUAUAAUCCCGGGAGGACCACCAGUGGCGAAGGCUGUCGACUAGAACGCGCUCGACGGUGAGGGACGAAAGCUGGGGGAGCGAACCGGAUUAGAUACCCGAGUAGUCC
rnacentral:rRNA from 1 species